AGAUAUUCCUAGUCUUUCCCAACCUUCAUCCUCAUCAGCUCCUCGGUCAUCUAGUGUGCAGAUUGAUGAGCUGACAGCGAGAUUUGAUUGGAUCACCAACAUGCAGCACAGGAAGUUAGAGCAUAGCUCCAGCACUUUGACGCUCUACAGAGGUAGAUUCUGGAUUUGCUACAAAGGCAGUUGGCCCAGGGGGACAGGAUAGUAGCUCAAGAUGGAUGAUUUUGACUUCGGUGACUUCGGCGAGUAUUUUCCAUCCC
rnacentral:lncRNA from 1 species